rnacentral:lncRNA from 1 species
UCCCUUUAGAGUACCUGUUAUGCUAUGUUAUGCUAUGCAAUGCAUGAAAUGUUUUCAAGGCCUUUUGGACUUUAACUUUGCAUAAACUACCAAAAAAGGAAACUUUUUUUUUUAUUUUUUUUUAUUUUUUUUUUAUACAAAACAGAGCAAAGUUAAAUCCCUAAGUCCUUGAAAUGGUUAGUACAAUGUUAUGAUGUUAUGAUGUUAUGAUGUUAU